GACGAACGCUGGCGGCGUGCCUAAUACAUGCAAGUAGAACGCUGAAGGAGGAGCUUGCUUCUCCGGAUGAGUUGCGAACGGGUGAGUAACGCGUAGGUAACCUGCCUGAUAGCGGGGGAUAACUAUUGGAAACGAUAGCUAAUACCGCAUAAUAGCAGUUAUUGCAUGAUAACUGUUUGAAAGGUGCAAUUGCACCACUACCAGAUGGACCUGCGUUGUAUUAGCUAGUUGGUGGGGUAACGGCUCACCAAGGCGACGAUACAUAGCCGACCUGAGAGGGUGAUCGGCCACACUGGGAUGAGACACGGCCCAGACUCCUACGGGAGGCAGCAGUAGGGAAUCUUCGGCAAUGGACGGAAGUCUGACCGAGCAACGCCGCGUGAGUGAAGAAGGUUUUCGGAUCGUAAAGCUCUGUUGUAAGAGAAGAA
rnacentral:rRNA from 1 species